rnacentral:rRNA from 1 species
GUCGAGGGGCAGCAUGGAGAGUAGCAAUACUCUCUGAUGGCGACCGGCGCAAGGCUGCGUAACGCGUGAGCAACUUGCCCUCAUCAGGGGAAUAAUCGCUGGAAACGGCGUCUAAUGCCCCAUGGUGAUGGAAUCAGGCAUCUGAAUCCAUCUAAAGAUUCGUCGGAUGAGGAUAGGCUCGCGUGACAUUAGCUUGACGGCGGGGUAACGGCCCACCGUGGCGACGAUGUCUAGGGGUUCUGAGAGGAAGGUCCCCCACACUGGAACUGAGACACGGUCCAGACUCCUACGGGAGGCAGCAGUGAGGAAUAUUGGUCAAUGGCCGGAAGGCUGAACCAGCCAUGCCGCGUGAAGGUCAGUGCCCUAUGGGCGUUAAACUUCUUUUGUGCGGGAGCAAUAAGGUCCACGCGUGGGCCGACGAGAGUACCGUACGAAUAAGCAUCGGCUAACUCCGUGCCAGCAGCCGCGGUAAUACGGGGGAUGCAAGCGUUAUCCGGAUUUAUUGGGUUUAAAGGGUGCGUAGGCUGUGAGGUAAGUCAGCGGUGAAAUGCCCCCGCUCAACGGGGUGAAGUGCCAUUGAUACUGCCUUGCUGGAAUGCGGAUGCCGUGGGAGGAAUGUGUGGUGUAGCGGUGAAAUGCAUAGAUAUCACACAGAACACCGAUUGCGAAGGCAUCUCACGAAUCCGCGAUUGACGCUGAUGCACGAAAGCGUGGG